AGAGGACUCAUCUCGUUGGUCAUCAGUAGAAAACUUUAUGGGAAGCCUAAAGGUAGCCAUGCUACCUUAUAAAUGUGCAUAGUCCAUGCAUAAGAAUGCAUUUCAGGAAAUCUUGAAUUCUUAUCUUGGUCUUUUUCAGUUAAAGUAGGAGAAGAAUACUUAAAAAGAGACCAUAAUCAUAACCCAGAAUCAAAUGGCACUGAAAGGUGACUCAAGAAGUUUGUAGAAGAACUCUGAUCAAGAAUUUUAACUCAGAUAAGUAUUCCUAUCAUUAUUUUUCUCUAUUGGUGGUCAUUGAGCUGGCUCUAAAUACUUGGAUACAUAAGGAAAAGAUACAAUAGUUAAUUUUUUGUUGUCAAGUUAGGAAAACUUGUCAUGAAUAUUUAUGUAUCACCGUUGUAGUCACACAGCAUGGAUUUAGUGUUGUAUUCUUUCACUUAUUCCCCUUAUGAUCUAGAACAAACUCCUAGGAUCUUCAGUUUCAUUACUUGUAAAAUGGGCAUAAUAAUAGUAUGUGAUAUCAUUGUAUUAAAGAUAAUUGGGACAAUGCCUGUACGCCAAUUCCUUUAUAAAACCAAGUGCUCAAAAAAUGGUAGUUAUUAUUAUUUUUAUUAUUAUUUUAUUGAUUGCUGAAGGCUUUAUGUGAAAUGACUGCUCUGAACUGUACUUGGAGCAAAAAUAUAGAAUUUUAAUGAAUCAUCACAACACUUUAUGAUAUAGAUAUUAUUAUCUCAAUUUUGUAUUUAAGCAAACUAAUUGGGAAUGUUAUAAAGCAUGCUCAAACUGACUGGUGACAGAGUGAAGAUUCCAAACCAGGUCUAUGCUUUUAGUCAUUCCUCUUUACUAUACACCUCUCUUAAAAGCCACAAGAGACCAUUCACUUCAAUUACCUAUUCUGACCUCAUAAAUAGAUGGCUGCUUAGUUCUUGGUAUUUAGGGGAACUAAAAAAUGCCCUUCUCCAAUAUUACAAGUAUCAGAGAACAUUAACUAAAGUAUUUACCACUUUCACCCUGAGGAACAGAGAAGCCAUGUUGGACAUAGGAAGGACAGUGGGAAACUGAGAACACCAAAUAUAAUGUUUAUUCACUGUAUGAUUUUGGUAAGGGCAGCCGUUGAUAAAUGUUCCUUAGUAUUCUCUAUUAAAAAACCAGAAAACUAAAUAUUAAGUAUCUGCAUGUAUAUUUAUGAAUGUUCAAAUGAGGUGUCUAUUAAUUUCAGAGAACACAUACACUGAGACAAUUGCAUUAUAUACACCACUGUUCUGGUACAUUUAUUAGUGGUUUCAAAUCAUGUAACAAACACUAUCUAAGUCCUCUUGGUGACAAAGGCAAUUGUGUGCAAAUUCCUGAUGAUGGAAUUAAUAAUUUAUUUUACUAUGGGCAUUUUAAACCAGAAGUUUAAAUUUAAAACAGGUAUUCUUCAAAACAGUAUAGUUAAAAGGCCAGAGAUGUGAAGCCAUAACCUGACCAAUGACAUUCAGGUCAUGAGUAAACAUAUGGUCUGCCACAGUGACUCAAUUAACCAUCCAUCAAUGUAAUUGCAUAAUACAUCAGAGGAGGUAGUCUCCUACCAGUGAGGGUCAGCAUCCCCUAUUAAAUUUAACAGGAAAAGCAUCACUUUGCCAUUAGCUUCUUUGGCUAUAUAUUUUUAAAUAUUUUGAAAAUACAUUCGAUACUGUAUUUUAUACUUACUGUUCUCUGGAAGAAAUUUUUGACAAACUGAUAUUUGGGCUGCUGGUUAAGAAAUAAUUCUACUUAUAAUAAAGCUGGCAUAAAUGAAAAGCACAACUUACAAGACAAGUAUUGCAUUUUAAUCAAUUCUAAUCACGUUAUUGUUGAGAUAAGAAAGAAGGAGGUAUACCAUUUAUACAUUAUGUAAAUUGUACAUAAAGUUAACAUGUUACAAACUUCUAUGAAGAGAUAUGGCUGAACUGGUUUAUGCAAUCUUUGUGAACAUUAAACCUUCUUGGCAUAGUACACAUGAUAAAAUAAUGGCAAUGCCUUAUUAAGUAAUUUUUUAAAAAAAUGUAUGGGGUAUUAAACUAGAUUGUCAGUAUGAUAGAGAGCUUGAAAUCAAGAACAAAUAAACAUAAUACUGGGUUUAUGCUUCAUAAGCAAGAUGUACUUAGUAAAUCAGGAAAUGCUCUGUUCCUAUCUGGUAUGUUUCUCCUUCUUUUGAGGUUCACAUCCUGAGGGAGAGUUGUACAUUAUUAAUGUUAUGUGCAUUUAAACCUACACCUUAGCAUCAAGAAAAAAUAGUGGAGAGAACUUAAAAGAGAUAUUUUAGCUAAUAGAUACAUAGUUCUCACUUGCAUUGUAUGCAACCUGCAUUCCCUUUGUAGACAGAAAGUAACCAUUGGCCAAGGCCCUAUUCCUAUAGGAUUAUUGAUAUAGAAAAAAAUGAUACCCCUAGAUUUCUGCUUUCUUCAGGACUCCACCUUCCUCUGGUAUAAUACAAUUUUUUUCUGACCUACAGUUGUUUGAUAUAAAAUCUUACUAUAUUUUUUGUUUUAUUUAUUUUUGGGGGGACUUGGCACAUCACUUUAGAAUAAAGUACAAUAUUACUAAAUAGUCAACUAGAAUUAUAAAAUAUUAGCAAUAUUUACCUUCUAACAAAACACAAGCUGAAUGUAUUAACUGAUUACCAGUUAUAUUAGGUAACAGUUUGGAAAAAAAUGGCACAGGGCAAGAAGAAAAAAUGAACAAGUCUUCAAAAAUUGUUCUAAGAAACUAAACUACUGUGGCUAUCGGCUCUGAUGAGAAUGGUGAAAUUGUUUGGAGAGGAAACCAGACAUUGCAAUGAAAAAAUAAUCUCUAUUACUAAAACUAACUUAAAAAGCCAAUAUCUAUAUACUGUUUACUGUGAGCUCAAGUAAGAACUAUUCCCUAUUUCAAAACUGUCAGUCCUCCCAGUCCUUUAUAUUUGCAUUAUCAACAAGCCUGUAUAUAUUACUGAAAAUUCUUUAGUGUUAAGUAUACUCUUUUUAACAAUUUUUUUCUGGAUAUAGAGAUAUAAUCAUAGAAUAAAGUUCUUCUGGAGUUUGAAAACAACUUUUGUCAGAAAUACAUUGUUUUCCUAGAAAGUCAUGAGGGUUGCUGAGAUUAUUCUUGCCCAUCAAAAUCUCUGUCUCAUUAGUUAUGCCAUACUACCUAGGGAAAAUAUCAACAGUGUUCUCCUCACGCAUAGGCAGCAGGUUCUGUGUUACAUCAGUACCAAUGCCAAAGCCUUGGCAUGCUGAAUUAGCAAAUUCCACUUGGAAACUGAACUGCAACUGGCUUGCUUUUACCAUUACGGUUGGGCUUGCAGGCUACCCUGGUUCACCUGCUAUGCCACUGUACUGAGGAAAUAUAAUUUUUGUGAAUUAGUUCUGUCUGAUAAUACUUUAUACUUUCUCCUAUUUUUUUUUAAAAAAGAUGUAGAAUUGAUAGGGAUUUACUUAAAAUAAAAUUAGUCUGUUGUAACUCCUUUAUGCUUCACUUUGAAUAGAUGAGCCAACGUUUUACUUGAGUGAAUACAUAAAGGCCAUGAUAGUUUAACUUUUACAACUCUCAUUAUUCUACCUCCAAGCUUAUUUAUCCCUUGUUUGCUCCUUCCUUACUUCAGGGGUCAAUAAUUUUUAAUGAGAUAACUGAAAGGAACAGUUUUGGGGGUUUGGAGAAAGGUAAAAUCAUAAUCACCAGGAAUUCAUUGCAGAACUCCACGUAAUUACUGUGAAGAGACUGAAGUUUUCAGGCCCCACUUGAAUUACCAGGGUCCCUUUAGAGUGAAAAAUGUAUGAAUCUCUUCCCUGGAGUUGUAGAGGACUUGGAUAUACAUUCUAGAAUAUGAAGAUUGAUUGAAAUUCUUAGAAGCAGAAAGUGGAAGAGAGAGACAAAGUGAGAAGAAAAAUAGCUGCAUGUUUCUAUUUUAUGCAGGGCCAGGCUUGGGCUAUUAUGAAUGUUGCUGAACACUGUUAAUCAAGCUUACACAGCUAUUUUGAUGGCAAACAAUUAGAACUCUGCAGCUCUACCUUGCAAUUAGCUUCAGGGAUACGGACCUGCACACCCUAAUAAUGAAAGAGACCUCCUUCAAGCACGGAACAGGUUACCUACCCCUACAGCAAAGCAAGUAACCAAUUAACUAACCACUCCAACCUAUAUUUGUCACUAAUGUUAUAUAACUACAAUUUCUUCCAAUUUUUCAUUGCCAAAGUUCUGCUAUCAAAGUUUGAUAACUGUGGCCUCCACAAACGGCAAAUGUCAUUUUGAAAACCAGCUCUGUUGAUAAAAGCUCAAAAUAAACCGUUUAACUUCCAGAGUGUUUAAUCGCAAGAAAAGUGUUAAGACAGACCUCUCCAGUCUUGGAGCCUCAUUCUAUGUAAGGCAUGGGGUGAGGUUGAUACAGGGUCAGAGUGGCGAUAAAAGUCAGGGAUAUUAGUUGUCCACAAUUACUAGCACCUGGCCUAUUACAGCCUGGCCUGCCUGACUCCCAGUUAAACAAACAGCCAGACCAAUUUUAACUUCCUUAUUUUUCUUAGUGGUAUCGUGCUGUAAGAAGUGAAAAGGGCAAGACAGUAGUUUUAGAGGCAGAAAGUAGAGGAUCUGGGAUCUUGUCUGCAACCACUUAUGAGCUGUGUAACAUUAGGUAAAUUACCCAUCUGAGCCUGAGUUCGCUCAUCUGAUAUUUUGAACUCAUCAAGGGCUAUCUAUUGUCAACAAUUAGAAAUAAUGUAUCCUGUACUACACAUGACCAUAAAAUUGUCACCUUACUUAUGCUAUCUUCCCAAAUAAUAUUUCUCUACCUGCUUUGAGAGAAAUAGACUUCAUAACCUUCUACCUACCUAACAAUGUCAAUGCUAAUUAGAUAGGGGAGACAUCUGACCCAAGCUUGAGCCAGACAGAAACUGUUACUUUCUUCUCUCUCUUAUUUGAACACAAGAAGAGUUUACUAGUAUUUUGUAGUAAAACUUGUAACCUAUAAAGUCUAACUU
rnacentral:lncRNA from 1 species